rnacentral:tRNA from 2 species
GUUUUUAUAGUUUAAAUCAAAACAUUGGUCUUGUAAACCAAAAUUAAGAAUCAUCUUUAAAAACU